GCAGGACACCCACGCGCACGCCGCCGCUCGCAGCUGACCUCGCCAACAAAAACACGUCCCGAAGAGCAAAAAUUCGCCGUGAAUGAGGAAAUGCACAACACGCACCCGAAACACGAGGGCCAUGCCCAUGUCCCGGCACGGCUGUGGCGGCCAAGCCCUGAGAGUCUGAAUUAAAAAAACAAGCACAGAAAAAACAGAAAGGUUCUGUGCACACUCCCAUCGCUGAGGAAAGCCUCUGUUAAGACUGGAAGUGCUAAGAUAUUGUGAGCAUACAGCUCAUAUACCAGGACGAGUAAGCAUGGAAAUUCUCCAAAGAAAACUCCUACUUGUGAAGUUGAGAUAGGUUGCCAUCGGGAGCUGAUGCUCUACCAAACAGAUUUUUUUCCUUCGGGCUGUAGUACACAAAAACAUUCUCAGUCAAUUUCGAAAAUCCUGACGAAGGAGAGCGUGACCAGCAUUGCCUCCAAAUUUCCACCAGUAUCAAUGGAACUGAGUAAAUGGACGUCGCAGUGGCUAACACCAAUCGGAGGAAGGCCAGAAAUGCAGGACACAACAGAGAAUGAUACAACAGCUGAAUUCCUAUCACUAAUAACGCAGAGAAGAUACUUUACAUAAAAGUAAUGAAUAAAGCAACUGGUUCCACUUUUAAAUAGGGGUAAAAGUCAGCCUUACAUUU